UUAGGAAUAUUCCACAAUGGGGGCAACCCUGAUGGAGCAACGCCGCGUGGAGGAUGAAGGCCUUCGGGUUGUAAACUUCUUUUCUUUGUGAUGAAUAUGACAGUAACAGAGGAAUAAGGGUCUGCUAACUACGUGCCAGCAGCCGCGGUCAUACGUAGGACCCAAGCGUUAUCCGGAUUGACUGGGCGUAAAGAGUUGCGUAGGUGGUGGUUCAAGCGAAUGGUGAAAUCUUGUGGCUCAACCAUAAGGCUAUUAUUCGAACUGGACUACUCGAUAACAGGAGAGGUAUCUGGAAUUCCCAGUGUAGGAGUGAAAUCCGUAGAUAUUGGGAGGAACACCAAUGGCGUAGGCAGGAUACUGGACUGUUUCUGACACUAAGGCACGAAAGCGUGGGGAGCGAACUGG
rnacentral:rRNA from 1 species